CCGCCCGGGCAGCGGGUCUGCACCCCAUGGGAAACACUGCAGAGAAGAUAAGAAUCAAAUGUUUAGUGAAACAGGAAUCCUAGCAGCUCCUGACCUGCACCAAGGACCGGGCUGGGAGCCAGGGCAGCCUCAGAGGCUGCCACGCAGGUGACCCAAGGUCCCCUCGUGAUCCUGCCAUCUCAGGCCCGGAGGAGAGCGUCCCAUCUCCUCCCCGGAACCGCGGCAUCUGGCAGCCGGCCAGCUUCGUGUGUCCUUAAAGGCGGGGUUCUCCACCUCAAGGGUGCGGCGCCCACCUCCUCCGGGGCCUGUGCCUCUUCAGGUCUCGCCUCAGUGCCAGCGGCAGACCCUCUCAAAGCGUGGCCUGCCGACGCCUGUGUCCAUCCUCAUUAACAGCCAGAUUCAGGGACACCAGCAGGGUGUCACGGGGCAAGUACCUCAUGUUCGAGUUCUCCACGCCACAGCCUUGCUGCUGAGAGACCACCCACUAUGGAAAGAGCAGGCGUGCACAGCUAUGGGUCAGCAGGGCCUCAGAUGGACGGUCUCUCCCUCUGCAGGCUGUGGUCAGCAGGCCCCUGGAUGCAGGCUGGCCCUGGAUGGACGGUCCUCCUCUGCAGGCCGUGUUUGGUGAGUUCGGUUCACAUGCAUCUCGUCCUCCAUGGUCCAGUUGGCUCACUGGACUGUUCGCUUUUCGGCCUGGGCAGGACCACAAGAGAGCAAGGCCGAAGAAACCCGCACUGGCACACAUCAAAACACAACUCCACACAACGUCCAAAACUCAUGCUCACACACAUCAAAACACAACUUCGCACAACGUCCAAAACUCACACACACACACAUCAAAACACAACUUCGCACAACGUCCAAAACUCACACACAAAGACACGACUUCACACAGCGUCCAAAACUCACGCUCACACACAUCAAGACACAACUUCACACAACGUCCAAAACUCACGCUCACACACACACAAGACACGACUUCACACAACGUCCAAAACUCAUGCUCACACACAUCAAAACUUCACACAUCCAAAACUCACGCUCACACACAUCAAAACACAACUUCACACAACGUCCAAAACUCACGCUCACACACAUCAAGAUACGACUUCACACAACGUCCAAAACUCACACACACACAUCAAAACACAACACACAACGUCCAAAACUCACACACACACAUCAAAACACAACUCCACACAACGUCCAAAACUCACGCUCACACACAUCAAAACACAACUUCGCACAACGUCCAAAA
rnacentral:lncRNA from 1 species